ACAGCGUUCGCACCCAUCCCAUUCGGAGGGAUCUACCUGCCCUUGGAGGUCCCUCCCAACAGAUGCCACUGCUCGCCUCUGGUUCUGGCCUAUGAUCAAGCGCAUUUCUCUGCCCUUGUGUCCAUGGAACAGAGAGACCAGCAAAGAGAACAAGCCGUGAUCCCCCUGACGGAUUCUGAGCACAAGCUGCUGCCUCUGCACUUUGCAGUGGACCCUGGCAAGGACUGGGAGUGGGGGAAAGACGACAACGAUAACGCCCGGCUGGCCCACCUUAUCCUGUCGCUAGAAGCCAAGCUGAACCUUCUGCACAGCUACAUGAACGUGACGUGGAUCCGGAUCCCCUCCGAGACACGGGUGAGCCUGGCUGUGC
rnacentral:lncRNA from 1 species